rnacentral:rRNA from 1 species
UACGAAGGGGGCUAGCGUUGCUCGGAAUCACUGGGCGUAAAGGGUGCGUAGGCGGGUUUUUAAGUCAGGGGUGAAAUCCUGGAGCUCAACUCCAGAACUGCCUUUGAUACUGAAGAUCUUGAGUCCGGGAGAGGUGAGUGGAACUGCGAGUGUAGAGGUGAAAAUUCGUAGAUAUUCGCAAGAACACCAGUGGCGAAGGCGGCUCACUGGCCCGGUACUGACGCUGAGGCACGAAAGCGUGGGGGAGCAAACAGGAU